GACGAACGCUGGCGGCGUGCUUAACACAUGCAAGUCGAACGGUGAAAGGGAGCUUGCUCCCUGGAUCAGUGGCGAACGGGUGAGUAACACGUGGGCAACCUGCCCCAGACUUCGGGAUAACGCUUCGAAAGGAGUGCUAAUACCGGAUACGAACUCCUUGGGCAUCCUUGGGGUUGGAAAGUUUUUCGGUCUGGGAUGGGCCCGCGGCCUAUCAGCUUGUUGGUGAGGUAACGGCUCACCAAGGCGACGACGGGUAGCCGGCCUGGGAGGGCGGCCGGCCACACUGGGACUGAGACACGGCCCAGACUCCUACGGGAGGCAGCAGUGGGGAAUAUUGCGCAAUGGGCGAAAGCCUGACGCAGCAACGCCGCGUGAGGGAUGACGGCCUUCGGGUUGUAAACCUCUUUCAGCAGGGAAGAAGCGAAAGUGACGGUACCUGCAGAAGAAGCACCGGCUAACUACGUGCCAGCCGCCGCCGUAAAAC
rnacentral:rRNA from 1 species